UCAUGUCCUCACCAAGAGCAAGAAUCUUAGAGGUCAGACUGCCCACUGCUACCCACCUGGGGCAGAAUUCCCAGUCUUUGGCUUCCUCCUGAAGGCAGAUGGGGCAACUGAAGACUGAAGACUCAAAGGCUAUAAACCCUGGAGAGUCAGAGCCAAGACUCAAGUGUGGUCAAUUCCUCUGACCCCAGAGUCCAACCCUAUCCUUUGCUCUUGGUGUCCCUUUUCUUGGCUGCCAUGUCCAGAAGAAGCCCAAGGUACAGAGGCCAUGCCAGAAGCAUGAUGGCCCACAGUCCCUGAGAAGCAGUCGUAUGGCCUUUCUGGAUGCUGGAGUUUUCCAACAAGGCUCUAGACACCGUGGAACAGAACCACACCAUCUUUGCUGUGCCCCACCCGAAACCCAGGCCCACAGAACUCGACACAUAAUUAAAUGUUCUAUGCCUGGAGAGUUUGAGGACUUAAUCAUGUAAUUGAUGGCCGAGGCAGCUG